GUCAGGAUGGCCGGGCGGUCUAAGCGCCUAGCUUCAGGUCGCAGUCUCCCCUGGAGGCGUGGGUUCAAAUCCCAUUUCUGACA
rnacentral:tRNA from 1 species